rnacentral:rRNA from 1 species
AGAGUUUGAUCCUGGCUCAGAUUGAACGCUGGCGGCGUGCUUAACACAUGCAAGUCGUGCGAGAAAGGGGACUUCGGUCCCUGAGUAGAGCGGCGCACGGGUGAGUAACGCGUGGAUAAUCUCCCCAGAAGUUCGGGAUAACGGCGGGAAACUGCCGCUAAUACCGGAUACGCUCCAAUUUCGGUUGGGGGAAAGGCGGCCUCUGUUUACAAGCUGUCGCUUCUGGAUGAGUCCGCGUCCCAUUAGCUUGUUGGUGGGGUAAUGGCCUACCAAGGCUACGAUGGGUAGCUGGUCUGAGAGGAUGAUCAGCCACACUGGAACUGAAACACGGUCCAGACUCCUACGGGAGGCAGCAGUGGGGAAUAUUGCGCAAUGGGGGAAACCCUGACGCAGCGACGCCGUGUGAGGGAUGAAGGCUUUC